rnacentral:misc_RNA from 1 species
UCCGGUUUGUCACCGGCAGUCUCCUUAGAGUGCCCAACUGAAUGCUGGCAACUAAGAACAAGGGUUGCGCUCGUUGCGGGACUUAACCCAACAUCUCACGACACGAGCUGACGACAACCAUGCACCACCUGUCACACUGUCCCCCGAAGGGGAACGCCCUAUCUCUAGGGUUGUCAGAGGAUGUCAAGACCUGGUAAGGUUCUUCGCGUUGCUUCGAAUUAAACCACAUGCUCCACUGCUUGUGCGGGUCCCCGUCAAUUCUUUUGAGUUUCACCCUUGCGAGCGUACUCCUCAGGCGGUAUACUUAUCAGGUUUCCUUCGGCACUGACUAAAUAAAGCCAACACCAAGUAUUCAUCGUUUAGGGCGUGGACUAC